CAACCACACCAAUAGAGUGUUGCCACGCGCCCACACCUGUGAUAUGGUCUCCACCCACGCGUCAUGACCCACCACCACCACUGCUGAAGCAGGAGAACAACAACAACACACACAAACUGCCAUCAUAUCUAACAGAAACAGUGAAGAAAGAUGACGGGGGAGGACGGUGGUGUUGGGAGGAUGGUGGUGUAGUGUACAAACAUCACCUGUAUAGUGUCCAUGGUGGCACUAUAAGUGACGUCAUAACUACUCGAGCAAAGAUAUGCCUUCCAUUGUCUAUAAAUAAAUAAUAAAUAAAUAAAUAAAUAAAUAAAUAAAUAAAUACAUUACUAAUAUCAUGGGUUAAGAUCGGUAUCUCAACUAUAUGUAAAGUAAUCUACAUAAAAUAUUGCUUUUCCUACAAAUAAAACAAAAACAUCAUAUGCAGCAAAAAAUAUAAUGAAACUGCUGUUCACCUCGACUCACUCAGCCUUCACACACUCACUGGCUUGGUAGAGUGCGUCGACAGAUGUUCCAUGAUGUACUGUACAAUAAUUGAGUGUACAAGAUGUUCACUCGUAAGUCAGGUGUGUUAACUACUGUGUCCAGAGCUUUAACCCUUUGAGGAAGAUGUGUUAACAGGUGAAUGGCUUAAACACCUGAAGUAUGAUGAUUUAACCCUUUGAGGACGAUGUCUUGAUAUCAUCCAUGGUUUAAAACUCUUUUAGGAUGAUGGUUUACACACCUGUAGGAUGAUGGUUUACACACCUGUAGGAUGAUGGUUUACACACCUGCAUGAUGAUGGUUUACACACCUUUAAAAAGAUUGUUUACACACCUGUAGGAUGAUGGUUUACACACCUGUAGGAAGAUGAUUUACACACCUGUAGGAUGAUGGAUUAUACACCUUUGGGAUGAUGGUAUACACACCUGUAGGAUGAUGAUUUACACACCUGCAGGAUGAUGGUUUACACACAUGUAAGAUGAUGAUUUACACACCUGCAUGAUGAUGGUUUACACACCUUUAAAAAGAUUGUUUACACACCUGCAGGAAGAUGGUUUACACACCUGUAGGAAGAUGAUUUACACACCUGUAGGAAGAUGAUUUACACACCUGUAGGAUGAUGAUUUACACACCUGUAGGAUGAUGGUUAGACUGUCGUCCUCAAAGGGUGGUCACACUCUAAUAGAGCAGUGUCUGAUGGUCACUGUCCCGCCAUCUUCACCUGUUCUCUACAUAUUGUUGUUGAUAAUAAAUGUUAAGAGUU